rnacentral:rRNA from 1 species
UCAGACGAUGCGUCAUGCAUAUCAAUAAGCGGAGGAAAAGAAACUAACAAGGAUUCCCUUAGUAACGGCGAGUGAAGCGGGAAGAGCUCAAAUUUGAAAUCUUCAAGGUUUUACCUUGACGAAUUGUAGUUUAAAGAAGUGUUUUCUGUUGAAGUUUUGGUAAAAGUUCCUUUGGAAUAGGACAUCAUAGAGGGUGAGAAUCCCGUAUUCGACCAUUAUCUCCAGCUGUGUGAUACACUUUCAAAGAGUCGGAUUGUUUGGGAAUGCAGUCCAAAAUGGGUGGUAAAUUUCAUCUAAAGCUAAAUACUGGCGAGAGACCGAUAGCGAACAAGUACCGUGAGGGAAAGAUGAAAAGAACUUUGAAAAGAGAGUUAAACAGUACGUGAAAUUGUCAAAAGGGAAGCGUUUGACACAAGUGUUGUUUUCUCGAAAAUCAAUUAAAAAGAGUUGGAUUUUGUGUUGUAUUGACCUUAACAGCUUGCUUCACUCUUUUCCUGCUUUUUUUAAUGCACUUUUCGUUUAACAAGUCAACAUCAGUUUCUUUUGUUGUAAAAGGGUCAUUGGAAGGUGGCUUUCUCUUCGGAGAAAGUGUUUAUAGCCUUUGAUCUCUGCAAUCGGAGAGACUGAGGUCUGCAGCGUAGAUCCUUCGGGGUUAGAUACACUUGUGCUAAGUUACUAGCCUUUCAUAGACAACUUGUUGACUAUGAUUAGUCAUUGUAGCUUACUCGCUUAUGCUAUUUUACCUACGCUUAGGAUGUUGAUAUGCAUGACUGAUAU